rnacentral:lncRNA from 1 species
CCGAUAUUUUAGCAAUAUUAUAAAAAGCGUUGUUCUCCGUAAUCAGGUGCAGGCCCGCUAGGUUUGCACACGGACACACCCGGUUCCUUGUUCAACCGCGGUGUCGCCGAUGCCUCAAUUCAGAAGCUGGAGGGAGACCCUCGAGAGGGCCCCUCUCCUCUCCAGGGCCUCUCCCGGCAGCGCCCGGCUCCUGGGAAGGACACACCGCUUGGGAGGAGGCCAGGCCUUCGAGAAGCUUGUCCAAGGCUCAUAGGAGAUACGCCAAGAAGUAAAAGCAGCUUGUUUUUCCUCUGGGCCUGACGGGAAGGCUAUGUGGCAUGAAGGAAGCUGAGCCCCAUUACAGUGCAUACUCUCUGUACCUGGGGGGCGUGUAAGACCUCUGAGCUGCAGCUCCUGUAAACCAGACCCUGGACGUCUGCUGUCGGGCUGUGGCACCCAGGCCAGUGUGAGGCCAUCACAGGGCAGGUGCUCAGGAUCUAGAAGCCUGGGACUCCCCACGGGCUGGGGGUGCACUGGCUGCCUCCUGAGUUUGCUCCCCAACCCAGUCAAUGGCUGCUCACCCCUCCAGGGCCCCCCUUGGCUUCUUGCCGCUAAGACUUAUUCCAAGCAGCCCGAGCAGCUGAGGUGGGUAGGCGAGGCCUCAUCCGAGAACCACCACCCCACGCCACGGUCAGGCCGCACACCUGGGAGGCAGGGACCCUCGGACGGUGGCUGGCUCAGCUGGGAUGAACACCUGUGGAGGAUUCCUGGGAAGAACACCGUUGCAUGUUUCCGCAAGAACCAGAAACCUGCUGCUCCAGCCAGAACCCAGUGGUCAUCGACGCCUGCUCUUCCUCAUCCCACCUCCACCAGAUGGCCAACCGCCUGCUUUGCCAGCACCGCCAAGACACCUCCCGGCCCGUCUGACUUCUGGGCCCCCUGAGGCUCCCAUGAUGUCCCGUACAGAACGUACCCAGGAGGGUGAACGGGCAGCGUGCCCUUGGCGAGCACUGAGUGAGCCUCCUCUUGGCGAGCUCACACGGGCAGUGAGUGAAGUCGGGGCCACGCAGCAGCUGAGCACAGCCCCUCCCAGGCCUCUGGGGCUCAGGGCUCUGACCUCUCCACCGGCCCCGCCCCUCCCUCCUGCUCCCCGGGGCUGGCUCGGCCCUUCGCAGGCACGACCUGAGCUGCCCUGGUUCUUGAGGUUCCUACAGACGCGGCGCCAGGCGGAAGGUCGGGAAGGCCCCUGCCCAGGACGCCAGUCGUGGGAGCUGCACAUCCUGUCAUUGGACGGCCCUGCCUGCGACACGGGAGGAACUGGAAGGAAGGUGUAGUCAAGGUGAGCAUCCUAAGAUGGGCGCACCCUGGAUCAUCUGGAUCGGCACCAACACCAUGACAGAUGUUCUCGUAAGAGAAAGUAAAGCAGAAGAGAGAAAGAGAAGUCCGUGUGAAGAGGGGCAGAGCCGGGGGUGAGGAACACCCGGAAUUGUUGGAGCCGCUGGAUGCUGCCGGGCGAGGGGCCUGGAUCGUACUCUCCUCAGAGCACCAGAAGGACAACCCUGCCCAGCCCUUGAUCUCGGGCUCCCGGCCUCCAGAACCAGGAGACAGUGGAUUCCUGCUGCCUUACGCCGCCCAGUCUGUGAGACCCGCCGUCUCAGACCAGGCGCAUGCUGUGCUGCGACGUCGCGCCCAGCUCCCUCUGUCCUGGCCCCGCUGGCUUGCCGCCACCUUGCUGGUGGCAUGCGUCCCAGGCCUCCCUCUGGAUUUGUGUAGCAUCUCUGAGGACGCCACCUACACAGCUGCCCAGGGUCAUUCUGGGUGUCGCCACACACGUGUGGCUGACGGGCUCCGUGUAACAUGACAUGUGCACACCUCUCUACAUUUAGCUCCCUCGCUUUUCAAGCCAUUGUCUUGAUAUCAAACAGUGUUAUAAUUUUUGUCUCAAUCAUCAAAAAUGACAUAGAAGGAGGACAACCCCAUGGCCAAGUGGUUAAGUUCACGUGCUCUGCUUCGGCGGCCCAGGGUUUCCCCAAUUUGGAUCCUGGGCGAGGACGUGGCACCGCUUGUCAGGCCAUGCUGAGCGGUGUCCCACAUGCCACAACCAGAGGCACUCACAGCUAGAAUAUACAACCGUGUAGUGGGGGCUCUGGGGAGGAGAAGAAGAAGGAAAAAGGAUUGGCAACAGAUGCUGGCUCAGCUGCCAACCUUUAAAAAAAAUUAAAAACAAAUGAUGUACAAGACAGGGGUGGAAUGGACAGCACGUGCCCAUGUUUGUGCUCCUCCCUGACGCUCUAGGAUUCUUUCUGUCAUUCCUUUCUGGCUGAAAAGCUCCCUUUACCCAUUUUUGGAGGGUUGGUCUCUGGUGACAAACUCUUUUAGCCUAGGUUUUCUAGGGUUUUUUUAAAGAUUUUAUUUUUC